rnacentral:lncRNA from 1 species
CCGCGUUGGAGUGAAGGCUGCUGAGGGAUACUUGAGCAGACCUGCCAGGUCUCCAAGCCACCUCCUGUGCAACUGGCCCUGGAAUUAGUUUGCUUUUCAUAACUGCUUUUUUUCUUGGCUUCUUCAGGUCCCUGGAGGCCGAAAGUGGCUGCUCUCCCAAGGUGUUCCCUCUAGGCAAGUGGAAGAGACACGGCUCCAGCAAAGAAGUCCUGGGAGUCCUGCAGCUGUCUUGGAGCAGGCCGUCUUUGUCACAGGAAGAACCACUCAAGCGUCCCUUUGACACUGGGUUCUGAGGACAGGGGAAGGCUGGAAGUGUUUGGCUGAGGAAGGGCUGUAGCCAGCAACCCCGAGGGCAGAAACACCUGGAGCAGAGGGAGACCCGGG